rnacentral:lncRNA from 1 species
AAAAUACAUACACUGUUUUUGUAUUCCUGGGUUGUGAAUUCUGUCUUUCAUCUGCUAAAGCCUGUAGGGGCCGCCUAUUCAGAGAGGGCUGCUGGAGGAAUUUGCAGGGGUGGGCUUCACUCCUGUGGUUUUACCCAGCUAUGCCUCAGAUUUCCUUAUUUCAAGCCAUCCUCUGUUGAAGAUAUGGAUGAUACAGUAAAACCAAAGGCCCUUGAGAGCAGAUUGCAUGAAUAUUUUGCUGUAGCCACAAAGAACUCGCAUCAUCUCCUGGAAAGAAUCUCAGGUGAAGCAAAUGUAAUGGACCAUUUGUCUAAACAGUGCUACGCUUGUGGACUUCAAGUGUGAAAACAGAUCCAAGACGCAAUCAUCCACCUCCAACAGAUUCAGGACGCAAUCAGCUACCUCCAUACUAGGGAGCAGGAUGGUGAGGGGACAGGUAUUUUGGGUGAUAUGACAACUAAUUGUAAUUAAUGUAAUUAAUUACAUGUAAUUGUAACAUUUACAAUGGAUUGUUUGCAGGGUAGGUAUACAUUUUCAUGGUCCUGAUAAUUGACAAGACUCAGGUGUCUGUAAAUACUGC